GUUAAACAAUUUUUGGGUUAUUUUGAUUUUGCAAGAAAAUGUUCAAAUUUAAUGGAAAGACUGUUGCAUCUCAAACUACAACAAACUUUGUUUUUAAAACCAACAAACUUCAUUAUCUCAAAGGUUUUUCACAUGUCUUUCUCUAUAACAAUGUUUGUAAUCUUGACAUGCUUUUCUGUUACAAGUCAACUUCCAAGUGCUCCCAAAAUUUUGACUAUUGAAAUAGCUUUCAAGAAAGUUUGGUGUAAUCAUUGGGUUGAAUGUAACUCCACUCUUGUGGUUUAUGUGUUUAAGAACUAUUUUUUUUGUCCUUUGGAGCUUGGAUAAUAGUUGGGAUAAUUACAUGGUGCUAUCUACUCAUAUGUGAUUCUUCUAUUUUCACAUUUAUCGAGAAAGAAAUGUUUAUGUUAUGUCAACAAACUUGUUUCCUUUGGUAAAUGGUACCUUCACUCAUGAUAUUUCUUUGGAG
rnacentral:lncRNA from 1 species